rnacentral:rRNA from 1 species
GACGAACGCUGGCGGCGUGCUUAACACAUGCAAGUCGAACGGAAAGGCCCUGCUUUUGUGGGGUGCUCGAGUGGCGAACGGGUGAGUAACACGUGAGUAACCUGCCCUUGACUUUGGGAUAACUUCAGGAAACUGGGGCUAAUACCGGAUAGGAGCUCCUGCUGCAUGGUGGGGGUUGGAAAGUUUCGGCGGUUGGGGAUGGACUGGCGGCUUAUCAGCUUGUUGGUGGGGUAGUGGCUUACCAAGGCUUUGACGGGUAGCCGGCCUGAGAGGGUGACCGGCCACAUUAGGACUGAGAUACGGCCCAGACUCCUACGGGAGGCAGCAGUGGGGAAUAUUGCACAAUGGGCGGAAGCCUGAUGCAGCAACGCCGCGUGCGUGAUGACGGCCUUCGGGUUGUAAACCGCUUUCGCCUGUGACGAAGCGUGAGUGACGGUAAUGGGUAAAGAAGCACCGGCUAACUACGUG